rnacentral:misc_RNA from 1 species
GCCCUACCCACAUGAAGAUCACAAUUCACAACUACACAACAAAUUAAAACCCUUUUUUAGUAAUCACUCCAUUUUUCCUAAGAAAAAAAAAAUCAUGUCUUGCUGUGGAGGAAGCUGUGGCUGUGGAUCUGGCUGCAAGUGCGGCAGUGGCUGUGGAGGAUGUGGGAUGUACCCCGACUUGGAGAGCACCACUACCUUUACCAUCAUUGAGGGUGUUGCACCUAUGAAGAACUAUGGAGUGGCUGAGAAAGCAACAGAAGGAGGAAAUGGCUGCAAAUGUGGAUCAAACUGCACAUGUGACCCUUGCAACUGUUGAGACACCAAAAUGUCUCUUUUUCUAUUAAUUAUUACUACUGUGUGUUUUAAUAAAAUUACUAAGCCAAUUGAACUGACCAUCUGCAAAUCUUUUUUACAAAGGUUUGUCUGAUGUUUAGUUCAUGGCUUUUUAUGUUUGGUUGUCUAUGUUCUCAAUUAGUUAUAUUUGUAUUGAAGGAAGUUUAUUUGGGCUUGUAAUUCACAUCUUUAUCAAUAUGAAAUACAAGUUGGCUCCUCCUUUUUACUAUGUCUAUUUU